GAGAGGCUUCACCUUUGUGCAGAGAAGGAACUGGAGAUUUACCUGAAUGUUGAAGAAGGUAAUUCCAAAACAUUUGAUGAUUUCCGUAUAAAACUUAAUAGUCUGACUAGUGUAACUAGGAAUUACUUUGAGAACUUAGUUAGAGCACUUGAGAAUGGUCUUGAAGAUGUUGAUUCCCAAGGAGCUCAUGGAAACAUUGCAACGAGCUCUAAAACCCCAGCUUUGAGCAGCAAAC
rnacentral:misc_RNA from 1 species